AACGAACGCUGGCGGCAUGCCUAACACAUGCAAGUCGAACGAGACCUUCGGGUCUAGGGGCGCACGGGGGCGUAACGCGGGGGAACCUGCCCUUAGGUUCGGAAUAACUCCCCGAAAGGGGUGCUAAUACCGGAUAAUGUCUUCGGACCAAAGAGUUAUCGCCUUUGGAUGGGCCCGCGUUGGAUUAGCUAGUUGGUAGGGUAAAAGCCUACCAAGGCGACGAUCCAUAGCUGGUCUGAGAGGAUGAUCAGCCACACUGGGACUGCGACACGGCCCAGACUCCUACGGGAGGCAGCAGUGGGGAAUAUUGGACAAUGGGCGAAAGCCUGAUCCAGCAAUGCCGCGUGAGUGAUGAAGGCCUUAGGGUUGUAAAGCUCUUUUACCCGGGAUGAUAAUGACAGUACCGGGAGAAUAAGCUCCGGCUAACUCCGUG
rnacentral:rRNA from 1 species